CGAGAGCCUCGAGCGUUAUCCGGAAUUAUUGGGCGUAAAGGGUGCGUAGGUGGCACUGUUAGUCUUCUGUCAAAGCCCCGGGCUUAACCUGGGAAGGGCAGAAGAAACGGCAGGGCUAGAAAGUAGGAGAGGUGUACGGAACUCUAGGUGUAGGGGUGAAAUCCGUUGAUAUCUAGGGGGAACACCAAAUGCGAAGGCAGUACACUGGCCUAUAUUUGACACUGAAGCACGAAAGCGUGGGUAGCGAAUGGGAUUAGAUACCCCAGUAGUCCACGCCCUAAACGAUGAUCUCUCGCUAUUCGGAGUAUCGACCCUCUGAGUGGCUUAGCUAACGCGUUAAGAGAUCCGCCUGGGAAGUACGGCCGCAAGGCUA
rnacentral:rRNA from 1 species